GAUGAACGCUGGCGGCGUGCCUAAUACAUGCAAGUCGAGCGAACAGACGAGGAGCUUGCUCCUCUGACGUUAGCGGCGGACGGGUGAGUAACACGUGGAUAACCUACCUAUAAGACUGGGAUAACUUCGGGAAACCGGAGCUAAUACCGGAUAAUAUAUUGAACCGCAUGGUUCAAUAGUGAAAGACGGUUUUGCUGUCACUUAUAGAUGGAUCCGCGCCGCAUUAGCUAGUUGGUAAGGUAACGGCUUACCAAGGCAACGAUGCGUAGCCGACCUGAGAGGGUGAUCGGCCAAACCGGAACGGAGACACGGUCCAGACUCCUACGGGAGGCAGCAGUAGGGAAUCUUCCGCAAAGGGCGAAAGCCUGACGGAGCAACGCCGCGUGAGUGAUGAAGGUCUUCGGAUCGGAAAACUCUGUUAUUAGGGAAGAACAAAUGUGUAAGUAACUAUGCACGUCUUGACGGUACCUAAUCAGAAAGCCACGGCUAACUACGUG
rnacentral:rRNA from 1 species